GAACCUGAAGAAGUCAAAACGCACUACUCUUCCACCGUUCGUCUCGACUGGCGCCGUCCCACGCAUCAGUCUUGUCGAAUGGUGGGUGAGUUCUGCGUA
rnacentral:pre_miRNA from 1 species